ensembl:lncRNA
GUGGUGGGGUGUAUGCUGUUCUGGCCUGGGGUUGGGAGCGGGCAGAAACUCACUCACCUAGUUCCAGGUCAGUCGGCGGCGGAAUCGUGACUGUAAGAUCUUGAAAGAGCCACCUCCUGAGGGAUGUUGCCUCCCACAGUGAGCUGGACCCUGUUACAUCAAUUAACAAUCGAGAAAAUCCCCACAGAUCAAUCUGAUCUAGGGAAUCCCUCAGUUUAGGCAGGCUGUGCCUCACUAAAGCUAUCUAGGACAGAGUCCAACAUAUGUAAAAUAGUAAUUGCCACAGUGUAUUAGUUACACCUCCUUCCCUUUGCCUUUAAAAGGGGAUAUGGCAUUUUCAAAAAUAACUGUUGGUGAGAUUUGAAGAAAUUCACACAUGUACAUUGUUGGAGGGAAUCUAGAAUGAUGCUGUGUGUGGAACAUAAUUCUGGCAGUGCCUCCAAAAGCUGAAUGUAGUAUUAUCAUAUGACCUAUAAGUUCUGUGCAGAUGUACUCCAUGAGCUUUGUUUAUAAAAAUUGCACAUGAUUAUACAUAAUUAUUCACAUUGUGCAUUUUUUUAAAUACAGGGUUUCUCUGUAGCUUUGGAGCCUGUCCUGGAACUCCCUCUGUAGACCAUGCUGGCCUCAAACUCACAGAGAUCCUCCAAUCUCUGUCUCCUGAGUGCUGGGAUUAAAGGAUCAGGAAAUUGAAUGAGAACCCAAGAUCUAAAGUCCCUGUGUCAGCUGGGACUUGGGUCUGAGAAGAGCUGGGACUGGUAAUAUGGGCUGGAUGAACCUUAUAUUCAGAGAACUAGGAAGGGACCUUCACCAGCAGCAUGUUUUGUGGAUGUAAGAGUUCUGGGAAUGGUAGAAUCUUCAUAAGUUCCUUUGCUAGUUAAUUUCAUUUUUGUUUCCUUUUUUGAGGGUGGGAGCAAGGACAGUGUUAGAGAUUGACAGUGCUUGAACAAAAACACAGAGCAAAUAGAGUUGUUGUUGUUUUUUUUCAGUCACACUUUGACUAUAUAUUGGUGUCAGUGAGCAGGAUGACCCCCAUGCCCCAAGGUUCCUAGAGGAAGAGGGAAACCUGCUGCCACUGCCUACCCUGUUGGGCCGCUGAGAGACAUCGGAGCAGGUUCCAUACGCUCGAGCAGUCUCUGUGCUCUUGGGGGUUGGACUCUGGCACUCCCGAGAUGGCCUGCAGCUCUUGAGGGUUCUAGGGUUAGGAUUCUGAGCUCUCACCACCACAAGCUAUCUUCGUGCAACUAGUCGAACAGUGGCAGAACCUGGGCAGCUGGAGGUAGUGUUACGAGCUUUCAUGUAAACUUCACAAAAACUUAAAAAUGAAUUUUAGCAGCAAAAGAUCAGAGACAAGCACGACUUCUUGCUAGCAUCAUUUUCUUGGGUGGUCUCUGUUUUGCUAGAGACAAGCAAAGACUCGAGUGGUUGCUUUAAGAGAGAUUUCCUGACUCAGCAAAAGCAGAAAAAAACUGCAGGACUCUUUAAGAGGCCCCUCUAGCUCAGUUGGCAGAGCAUGAGACUUUUGAUGUGGGUUCCUGCCCUAUGCAGCUGGCAGUGGCAGUGACCACAUCUCCAAGGCGGCAGCGUGCUCCUUGAAAGAUAUCGGCUAAGAAAGCUGCCACUUUAAUUUUUGUGGUGUUGUUUAACAGUUAAAAGACUGCAUGUCCAGAAGAAGGUAAAGAUUUACAAUAAAGACAGAUCCAGAUAAAGAAAAACCUCUGAAGUGUUUAAAAAUAUAUGUAGGCUUGUGAGAGAAAAAGUAACAGGAGGAAAUAGAGUAGCUGGGUGUGGGGGCACUCACCUUUAAUCCCAGCACUCCCAAAGCAGAGGCAGGCAGAUUUCCACAGAGAAACCCUGUCUCAGGAAAAAUGAAAGAAAAGGAAGUAAAAAUAGAAAAAUAGAAAAGCCACCCAAAGAUGAAAAAUACACAGAGAGUCUGGAUACUAUAUGCUAUAUUGUCUUUAAAUUGUUUGAUUGCCGAGGAAAGAGUUUCUGCUACUAAAAUACAUUUGAUUAUAAAUACAGCUAAAUUAAUCCAACUUAUACAUUUUAAAAAUGCUUUGACUUCAAAAUUUAAGUCUAAGGACAGGCUACUUGAAAAAAAAAGUUUUUGCUUGUGUUUCCACAGAAAAUCAAAAGCUGUGGAUUCCUUCCAGACUAAUAUGGUUUGAUCAAGCAAGACCCCUGAAGCUGAGAUGAUACAGUCUUACAGACUAUGAAAACAAGGACUUGGUCGAAUUUCUGUGUUUUAUCAUGAUCCCUAUGGUAUGGACAUCACCCCCAAUCAGCAGGAAGCAGUUUGGAAUGAACUACGCCUAAAUUCCCAAAUAUUGUUUAUAAAUGUUUGUUUUCAUUUAAAUGGAGUUGGUUAUAAAUGAUAAUGAGCAUAGUCAAUCUCUUUUCUUAAAAAAGGGGGGAUAUAGGAUAUAGGAAUGAAUACUUUGCAUUGAUAUGGACUUUCAUUUAUUGAUGCAACUUUAAGAUCAAUUUUGUGAUAUGUAUAUGUCUCCUCUUGUUUAGAUAUUGUGUUUAUACAGAUCUUUUAAAAUGAUAUACAUAAUUAAAUACAGGUUAUAUAGUUAUCUAUAAUAGUCAGAACUUAUAAUUAGGUUAGUUAGGUUUUCUAGAUAUACAGAGAUGUAUUUGAGAUGGAUAGGUAUUCUUUAAUUAAAUCUUUCAAAGACCGACAGAAUAUAUGGCAUUUAAAUGGUUUAGGGUUUUUCUUGGCAGUGAGACACAACUGCUCCUGGCACACCAAUUACAUCAGAAAGGAGGAUGGGCAUCGAAGAAACUCGUUAUGGAGUUUGCUUUCAACAUGGCAAGAUUAGCCAUUUGGGCAAGAAACUACUCUUGCCUGGAUUGUUUGUUGCUGUAUAAACUGGACGUGCAGGACCCACAAGAAAGUGACUGCUGAACUUACAAAACAAGACAGUACUGAAGGGUCCUGUUGAAAUGCAGAAGUGUGCCAGACACACAGCAGAUGUGGUGCUGGAGCUCAGAGUCCUACAUCUUGACUCAGAGGCAACAGGAAGUCAGCUGGCUGUCACACUGUGGGAAACUUGAGCAAAAGAGUCCUUACAGCCCACCCUCACAGUGACACACUUCCUUUAAGAAGGCUACAACUCCCAAUAGUGCCACUCCCUUUGGGGGCCAUAUUCUUUCAAACCACCACACUUGGGUGCAGCUUCCCUGUCAUAUAUAGAAGACACAGCCUCACAGCAGACAUCCUGUCUCUCUGGCUUUUACGAUCUUCUUAAUGCUUACAGAAGGCAUGCAAAACCUUGCAUCUAUUCCAUCUCUAGAUGUAUCUCUGCUUCAGCCAAACCUCAUUACACACUGUUGCUUUCCAGUGUCUUAUCAGCCAUGUGUUUAAGUGCUUCACCCUGAUUAGAACACACUUCCUGUCAUGUAACAUGAAAAAUAAAAAGCCCCAGAGACUGAUAUUGGGGUUCAAACUUCAAGCUGAAGAUCAGAAAAGAAAAGCAGCCAAUCCUAGCUUUUACCUUUACCUCAGGCUGAAAAGGCUGAUCCUGCUGCCUCUCCUCAGAGUGACUGGAGAUUCCUGAGACUGAAUGUCCUCCUAUCCUCAAUGUGUCUGGAGGAUGAAUUCUCAAUACUGAGACCUUGCUCCUGUCUUAUAUACCUCUCAUGAGUUCCAGGAUUAAAGGUGUGAGCUCUAAUUCUCUUUUAAACUGAUUUACUCUAAUGUGUCCUUGGGCGGCCUUGAAUUUAGAGAGAUCCAUCUGCCUUUAACUCCUGAAUCCUGGGAUUAAAGGUGUGUACUACCACCUACUGACCUCUAUAGCUUGUGGCUGACUUUGCUUUCUGAAUCCUCAGGCAAGCUUUAAUAAAUCAUAAAUGAUACAUCACCACACUAUCCUCACCUCAGAUUCACCUGGGAAAAUGGCUUGGACUUUACCAAGACUUAACCCAACUGACACUUACUUCUUGUUUCACACCUUACCUCUUUGCCAUUGUGUCAAGGAGGUGUCUGGGUAGUCACUUCCCACUGAUAUACACAAUCUCUUCUUUUUGAGCACUGCAAUCAGUAGCAUUUCAACAUAGCUCCCACCAUAUCUUACCGCAUGGCUUUCCACUCCUGAAUCUCUCUCCCUCUGCUGUGGGCUCCUCAGGAGUGGAGGUCAAGUUAGUUGCAACAUGUCUCAAGUCACAGUUUGUCC